UUACGACUACAUAUCAGGCAUAUCAAUAAGCGGAGGAAAAGAAACUAACUAGGAUUCCCUUAGUAACGGCGAGUGAAGCGGGAAGAGCUCAAAUUUGAAAUCUUCAAGGUUUUACCUUGACGAAUUGUAGUUUAAAGAAGUGUUUUCUGUUGGUGUUUCGGUAAAAGUUCUUUGGAAUAGGACAUCAUAGAGGGUGAGAAUCCCGUAUUUGACCAUUACUUUCCAGCUGUGUGAUACACUUUCAAAGAGUCGGAUUGUUUGGGAAUGCAGUCCAAAAUGGGUGGUAAAUUUCAUCUAAAGCUAAAUAUUGGCGAGAGACCGAUAGCGAACAAGUACCGUGAGGGAAAGAUGAAAAGAACUUUGAAAAGAGAGUUAAACAGUACGUGAAAUUGUCAAAAGGGAAGCGUUUGACACCAGUGUUGUUUUCUCGAAAAUCAAUUAAAAAGUAUGGGAUUUUGUAUUGUUAAGACCUUAUCAGCUUACGGUACUUUUUUCUUAUUCUUUUUAAUGCACUUUUCGUUUAACAAGUCAACAUCAAUUUCUUUUGUUGUAAAAGAGUCAUUGGAAGGUGGCUUUCACUUCGGUGAAAGUGUUUAUAGCCUUUGGCUUCUGCAAUCGGAGAGAUUGAGGUCUGCAGCGUAGAUCCUUCGGGGUUAGAUACGUAGAUGCUAAGUUAUAGUUUUUCAUAGACAACUUGUUGACUAUGAUUAAUCAUGUAGCUUACUCGUUUGCGCUAUUUUACCUACGCUUAGGAUGUUGAAUCUGUGCGAGACUAC
rnacentral:rRNA from 1 species